ACGCUCGACACCUACGGGCAGCAGUGGGGAAUAUUGCACAAUGGGGGAAACCCUGAUGCAGCGACGCCGCGUGAGCGAAGAAGUAUUUCGGUAUGUAAAGCUCUAUCAGCAGGGAAGAAACUGACGGUACCUGACUAAGAAGCACCGGCUAAAUACGUGCCAGCAGCCGCGGUAAUCUGAGCGGGCUGGCAAGGC
rnacentral:rRNA from 1 species